rnacentral:misc_RNA from 1 species
AACCUAGCACACCUGCGGUGUGUACCUGCGGAAGGAUCAUUACCUAGAGUUGUAGGCUUUGCCUGCUAUCUCUUACCCAUGUCUUUUGAGUACCUUACGUUUCCUCGGUGGGCUCGCCCACCGAUUGGACAAAUUUAAACCCUUUGCAGUUGAAAUCAGCGUCUGAAAAAACUUAAUAGUUACAACUUUUAGCAACGGAUCU